UGCAAAGGGAGAAAGUUCCCGAGGAAAAGGUGUUGGACGAGGUAUUCGGGCCAGACGAUUUGUCCCAUACUCAUGUAGAGCCCGUCGACCCCAAGGGGCUCGUAUCAGUUCAUACCAUAGCUCAACUUCAGAUGCGGAUCAGUCAGGCUAGGAUGACUCAACGCAGCCUCCUUGUCAUCCAUGGGAGCCUCCAUGUCCCAUUCCUCAGCCCCCAUCCCAUGCCCAUAGAGAAUCCUUACCUGUGAGAGAACCUGAACCGAACAGAGAAGAUAUCGAUGUAGCCGCCCCCACAGUGCCUACAGCUACCCAGGAACAACCCAAACGUAGGCGUGGGCCUGCUAAGUGCACUGAGUUCGAGAAGUUGAGAACGUACGAAAAAGUGCCGUUGAAGAUUAAUGGCGGCGAGUCGGCACCGUGUUGUCAGAACGCAUCCAUGUUCACGACACGGGUAACGCAAAUAGUUAAACAGCACUGUGACAUGAGUUAUGCUAGAUGGACCGAUGUGCCGCAGGCUCAAAAGGACGAGUUGAUUGAACGUGUUCGGGGUGACUUCGUGUUAGAUUGGGAUAUGGCGAAUCAUAGAUUAACAGUCUUAAAGCAGCAACGUAAGCGGUUCAAUUCAUUCCAUCACGAAUUACACAAAAAAUAUUUCUCAUACAAAAGU